AUCUAUACUGUGAAACUGCGAAUGGCUCAUUAAAUCAGUUAUCGUUUAUUUGAUAGUACCUCACUACAUGGAUAACCGUGGUAAUUCUAGAGCUAAUACAUGCUAAAAACCCCGACUUCGGGAGGGGUGUAUUUAUUAGACAAAAAACCAAUGCCCUUCGGGGCUCCUUGGUGAAUCAUGAUAACUUAACGAAUCGCAUGGCCUUGCGCCGGCGAUGGUUCAUUCAAAUUUCUGCCCUAUCAACUUUCGAUGGUAGGAUAGUGGCCUACCAUGGUAUCAACGGGUAACGGGGAAUUAGGGUUCUAUUCCGGAGAGGGAGCCUGAGAAACGGCUACCACAUCCAAGGAAGGCAGCAGGCGCGCAAAUUACCCAAUCCCGACACGGGGAGGUAGUGACAAUAAAUACUGAUACAGGGCUCUUUUGGGUCUUGUAAUUGGAAUGAGUACAAUUUAAAUACCUUAACGAGGAACAAUUGGAGGGCAAGUCUGGUGCCAGCAGCCGCGGUAAUUCCAGCUCCAAUAGCGUAUAUUAAAGUUGUUGCAGUUAAAAAGCUCGUAGUUGAACCUUGGGCCUGGCUGGCCGGUCUGCCUCACCGCAUGUACUGGUUCGGCCGGGCCUUUCCUCCUGGGGAUCCGCAUGCCCUUCACUGGGUGUGUUGGGGAACCAGGACUUUUACUUUGAAAAAAUUAGAGUGUUCAAAGCAGGCCUUUGCUCGAAUACAUUAGCAUGGAAUAAUAGAAUAGGACGUGCGGUUCUAUUUUGUUGGUUUCUAGGACCGCCGUAAUGAUUAAUAGGGAUAGUCGGGGGCAUCAGUAUUCAGUUGUCAGAGGUGAAAUUCUUGGAUUUACUGAAGACUAACUACUGCGAAAGCAUUUGCCAAGGAUGUUUUCAUUAAUCAGUGAACGAAAGUUAGGGGAUCGAAGACGAUCAGAUACCGUCGUAGUCUUAACCGUAAACUAUGCCGACUAGGGAUCGGGCGAUGUUAUUCUUUUGACUCGCUCGGCACCUUACGAGAAAUCAAAGUCU
rnacentral:rRNA from 1 species